GAUGAACGCUGGCGGCGUGCCUAAUACAUGCAAGUCGAGCGAACGGACGAGAAGCUUGCUUCUCUGAUGUUAGCGGCGGACGGGUGAGUAACACGUGGAUAACCUACCUAUAAGACUGGGAUAACUUCGGGAAACCGGAGCUAAUACCGGAUAAUAUUUUGAACCGCAUGGUUCAGAAGUGAAAGACGGUCUUGCUGUCACUUAUAGAUGGAUCCGCGCUGCAUUAGCUAGUUGGUAAGGUAACGGCUUACCAAGGCAACGAUGCAUAGCCGACCUGAGAGGGUGAUCGGCCACACUGGAACUGAGACACGGUCCAGACUCCUACGGGAGGCAGCAGUAGGGAAUCUUCCGCAAUGGGCGAAAGCCUGACGGAGCAACGCCGCGUGAGUGAUGAAGGUCUUCGGAUCGUAAAACUCUGUUAUUAGGGAAGAACAUAUGUGUAAGUAACUGUGCACACCUUGACGGUACCUAAUCAGAAAGCCACGGCUAACUACGUG
rnacentral:rRNA from 1 species